AUUGAACGCUGGCGGCAGGCUUAACACAUGCAAGUCGAGCGGGGGAAGGUAGCUUGCUACCGGACCUAGCGGCGGACGGGUGAAUAAUGCUUAGGAAUCUGCCUAUUAGCGGGGGACAACAUCUCGAAAGGGAUGCUAAUACCGCAUACGUCCUACGGGAGAAAGCAGGGGAUCUUCGGACCUUGCGCUAAUAGACGAGCCUAAGUCGGAUUAGCUAGUUGGUGGGUAAAGGCCUCCCAAGGCGACGAUCUGUAGCGGGUCUGAGAGGAUGGUCCGCCACACUGGGACUGAGGCACGGCCCAGACUCCUACGGGAGGCAGCAGUGGGGAAUAUUGGACAAUGGGGGGAACCCUGAUCCAGCCAUGCCGCGUGUGUGAAGAAGGCCUUAUGGUUGUAAAGCACUUUAAGCGAGGAGGAGGCUACUUUAGUUAAUACCUAGAGAUAGUGGACGUUACUCGCAGAAUAAGCACCGGCUAACUCUGUGCCAGCCGCCGCCGUAA
rnacentral:rRNA from 1 species